rnacentral:rRNA from 1 species
CAGCAGCCACGGUAAUACGUAGGGUGCGAGCGUUAAUCGGAAUUACUGGGCGUAAAGCGUGCGUAGGCGGUGAGUUAAGUCUGCUGUGAAAUCCCCGGGCUCAACCUGGGAAUGGCAGUGGAUACUGGCUCGCUAGAGUGUGUCAGAGGGUGGUGGAAUUCCCGGUGUAGCGGUGAAAUGCGCAGAUACCGGGAGGAACGCCGAUGGCGAAGGCAGCCACCUGGUCCACUUCUGACGCUGAGGCGCGAAAGCGUGGGGAGCAAACCGGAUUAGAUACCCCUGUAGUCCCUGUCUCUUAUAC